CUCCCACUUUCCCAUACUCAGAAGCACGCACACACUGAAGCGUCCCUCUCUUAUCUGUGGUCUGAAGAUCCCUGACUCCAGCCUGUGCAGACAGUCCUAUCUAACUGGGCCACAUCUCUAUAUACACAAGGAAGUCACCCACUCCUCAUGAAGAAAUGAAAUCUGCUUCAGACAUCCUGGCCCUGAGCUAGAAAAAAAUGAAAAACAUAGUAUGAAAGGGUAAUUCAGCUUGAGACUCGGCACACACAAGCCCUUGUUGGGGAAAAAAACGAUGUUUGGUUUUACGCAUUAGAACAAAUCCCUCUUAUUCUUUGGAGCUUGUUAAGGACAGUGUCUUUGUUGUGGUUUAUCGCGCCUUGGCCUCUGUCCCAGGCCAUUUAUCUCCCAAGCAUGACACAAGCAGUUGCAUUUCAUUCAGAUUUUUCCCCUGGAUGAACUGACUAAGUCUUUCUCUGUUCUUGUUCGUAGGAAGAGGCACUUCUGCUGCAGACAGUGUUGAGCCAGUACUGUGUUUGUCACUGGGAUCGACUGACUGAGAGGUUAGGCAGAGCAGACAGCGAAGGGCUGUAGGCAAGAACUGGGGGUGAAAGGUCACCGGGGAGCGAGUACGGCUGACCUCCACAGCACAAACUGCUCACUGGUGUUGACUUAACAUUGCUUGGACCUGGUUCUCGCCAUGCAUUUUAGCGGAACCCAGUUUUUACCACAGGAGUGUGUUCUGCAAGAUUCCCGGUAGUGGCCCGACGUGAGACCCAACACAGUGGGAGCUGUUGGACACUGAUACUCAGAGGAGAAUAUGCUGACUCAUCAACGCCACUGAGACACACGUUUGGGAUUCCUGGAAAGUGUCCGGUGUUUGGAUGUCAGUCGUUCCCAUCACAACAGGAGGUUUCGCAGUCUCCAGCGGAGCCAAAAUGAAGGUCCCUCUCUAUAUUUUGACCUUGUGGCUGCAAUGAGAAAGGGAGACGUGUCAGUAAAGCAGGAUGAGAAGCAGCCGGAGGAAGCUAUGCUGAGUCCUACGCCCGGACCCGUCCACUGCCUCUGGCGAGACAGAACCCACAGAGGCCUCACACAGAUAAGCGCGCGCAGACUUCAAUCAGACUCCACUAUAGGGGACAGGACGUCACAGGCCGCACGUCAAGGGUGGUGACAAGAGGUCGUAUGUGUGGGCAAGCUGCCCUCCACUACAGCAUGAGGCCUGAAUGGUGUUAUUGAGACAGUGGCCAUUUGGAUAAUGUACUGCAUACGACCAUCUUGCCCUCCAUGCAUCAUAUUGUGCACCAUGUUAACGCUGUGUGUAACACAUUAAAUUCAGCUGGACCUCAACAAGAAUGAAAAAAG
rnacentral:lncRNA from 1 species